rnacentral:rRNA from 1 species
UACAGAGGUCUCAAGCGUUGUUCGGAUUCAUUGGGCGUAAAGGGUGUGUAGGUGGCGCCGUAAGUCGGGUGUGAAAUUUCGGAGCUUAACUCCGAAACUGCAUUCGAUACUGCGGUGCUUGAGGACUGGAGAGGAGACUGGAAUUCAUGGUGUAGCAGUGAAAUGCGUAGAGAUCAUGAGGAAGACCAGUGGCGAAGGCGGGUCUCUGGACAGGUCCUGACACUGAGACACGAAGGCCAGGGGAGCAAACGGG